ACUUCUCUUAAAAAAAAUUAGUAAAAUUGCAAUAUAGCCAACUCUUUAAAAUGGCUUCUAGGAAAAUUUUUCUACCAAUUGUCUUCGCUGUUGCUAUAGUCUUCGUUUCUUUAGGAACUCACUCCACUGUGGAGGGCGGGUUAUGGGGCCAUGGUACUGGUKUGGGACGCCGAAACAUGUAUAAGAAAAUGYUUGAUAAAAGGAAUCAAUCUCCUUCCCCAAAUGAGGAUUCUGCUAUUUGCGUGGAAGCUCAUAAACGUGGUUGUUGUUAUAAGUAAAACCUCAAGCACGAUAUAUAACGUUUAUGACAGUAAACAAAUAAAUGUAAGAUAAAUGACCAGCAAACUGAAUAAAAAAAAUAUUCUAAACAUGA